GGAAUCACCUACAAGGAGGGUAGAUGCAUUGCUUCAUUCAUACACUGUUUAUGAAGACAGUGUUUACGGUAAUUGUUACAAAUUUGAAAUUCUUUCAGAUUUAGUGCUUGACUCAACUCAACUGGUUCACUUGGCUGCAGACCUUGCUUGGAGUUCUUGAGAACCCUGGAUAUUUGCUUCAUUGUCUUAUGAUGGGAGGGUACAACUACUUUUACUUUAAAAAAAUAUAUAAUAGUAUAUUCUUGUAAUCACAUAAUAUUAGAUCUAGCAAUAAAAUGAAUGGAGAGUUGGAAAAGGAUUCUCGUAACCAACCCCAUAUUAUUGGAACAAUGCUUAGUUUGUUGAUGUAUUCUUGUACUUCCACAAUAUUUCAAAUGGAAAACUUGCAUCGUCGUAGAUGAUGUUUAUCAGACACUGUUGCUGUUACCGUGACAGGUUCUCAGCGUCCUGUAGUAUUCUUCAUCUAGGCUUUACAUUUGCGUGAACGAUAAUUUUAGUAGGUGAACAUGACAUUUCUUUUAGGCCAAAGCGUAGAUUAUUUUCGGUAUUGUUGUCUACCCUAUUGAAAGGAAGGGCUUAAUAAUGGUGAGAGAAUAUAAAAGCAGAGUCUAACUUAUCCAAGUACGCUAGUCCGUUUUUCAAUCUGUGCCUAGUUUUUCAUCCACCAUUUAUGCAAACACACAUUUUUUGAUCAAGUAGGUUAUUCCCUAUUUCAGAUACAGGCUACGGCUAGAAUCUAAUUCUUUUCCUCAUUUGACAUGAUAACUCAAGGA
rnacentral:lncRNA from 1 species